rnacentral:rRNA from 1 species
GACGAACGCUGGCGGCGUGCUUAACACAUGCAAGUCGAACGGAAAGGCCCUGCUUUUGUGGGGUGCUCGAGUGGCGAACGGGUGAGUAACACGCGAGUAACCUGUCCUUGACUUUGGGAUAACUUCAGGAAACUGGGGCUAAUACCGGAUAGGAGCUCUUGCUGCACGGUGGGGGUUGGUAAGUUUCGGCGGUUGGGGAUGGAAUCGCGGCUUAUCAGCUUGUUGGUGGGGUAGUGGCUUACCAAGGCUUCGACGGGUAGCCGGCCUGAGCGGGUGACCGGCCACAUUGGGACUGAGAUACGGCCCAGACUCCUACGGGAGGCAGCAGUGGGGAAUAUUGCACAAUAGGCGGAAGCCUGAUGCAGCAACGCCGCGUGCGGGAUGACGGCCUUCGGGUUGUAAACCGCUUUCGCCUGUGACGAAGCGUGAGUGACGGUAAUGGGUAAAGAAGCACCGGCUAACUACGUG